ACCUCUCUGCUUUCUUCUCAGCCCAUAUAACAUAAGGAAAGAUGCAUGCACCAGCAGAACCGAGAACAACUGGAGGAAGUCUCUGAUCAACUCGGUUACUGCUCCUUUGAACCAAGAAACAAAUCUUAAGGCUGUUCCUCUGCCUGUCCAGGGAGAUCCCUGUCCCAAGCAGCUCUUACAACCAGGUGUACCAAGAGGUGGAAUGUGGCCAUGCUUUCCGAUGGAUGGACUGUGAGCCUUGGGAUUCUGCUUGUGCUCCAAGGAAUGAUGCAUGGGGAGAAGAUAGCAGAAACAGGAUCCUGCCGGCCUCAGCCUUCCUGCCAUGAGUGCAUUCAGUCCCACCCCAGUUGUGCCUGGUGCAAGCAGCCGGUGAGUCCUCAGUCUCGUGAGCCCCUCUUGC